ACGGAAGGCAGCAGUGGGGAAUCUUGCGCAAUGGGGGCAACCCUGACGCAGCAACGCCGCGUGCGGGAUGACGGCCUUCGGGUUGUAAACCGCUUUCAGCAGGGAAGAGACUGACGGUACCUGCAGAAGAAGCUCCGGCUAACUACGUGCCAGCAGCCGCGGUAAUACGUAGGGAGCAAGCGUUAUCCGGAUUUAUUGGGCGUAAAGCGCGCGUAGGCGGCUCGUUAAGCAAGGUGUCAAAGCCCGGGGCUCAACCCCGGCCCGCACCUUGAACUGGCGGGCUUGAGUUCGGUAGGGGAAAGUGGAAUUCCCAGUGUAGCGGUGAAAUGCGCAGAUAUUGGGAAGAACACCGGUGGCGAAGGCGGCUUUCUGGGCCGUAACUGACGCUGAGACGCGAAAGCUAGGGGAGCGAACAGGAUUAGAUACCCUGGUA
rnacentral:rRNA from 1 species